rnacentral:rRNA from 1 species
UACGUAGGAUGCAAGCGUUGUCCGGAUUUACUGGGCGUAAAGCGCGCGCAGGCGGCAGGUUAAGUAAGGUGUGAAAUCUCCCUGCUCAACGGGGAGGGUGCACUUUAGACUGACCAGCUAGAGGGCGGUAGAGGGUGGUGGAAUUGCUGGUGUAGCGGUGAAAUGCGUAGAGAUCAGCAGGAACACCCGUGGCGAAGGCGGCCACCUGGGCCGUACCUGACGCUGAGGCGCGAAGGCUAGGGGGAGCGAACGGG